UUUAUCGAUUUGUGUCAAAUUUUGAACCGGCCCAAGUUGGAACCGGCGAAAUUUAUUAAUUUAUAGAAAUUAUUAAUUUAUCGAGUAUUAAUUUAUAGAUGUUUUAUUUUAUAUAUUUUAACUACUCUGGCUGGAAUGGUUUGGCACGGCCAUGCAUGCAUGUGGUUGAAGUUUUUCACGGUAGUAAUUAUUUUCUUUUUGGUGUUGGUGUUGAAGGAGAUUUGGGGAAAUUGUAGAAGCGAUACACAUGGGUGGAGCGGGAGAGAAUGAACAAACGCUGUAUGCAACGAUGCAGUUAAGUUCUGUCUCCAAAGUUCCAGAUAUUCUAACCGAAGACAGGACCCAAUACAUCAUCAAUGGAAAACAUGUUUGGGCUCGAAAAUUCAUUCCCAGUCACAAAUCCUCCUAGCUCCCAUCAUCUUUCUCCCCAUUCCUAUGGAAACUUUUUCUAGUUUCAUAUGUUUUUCUUGUUUUUUUUUAAUUUAUCUCAAGGAGUUAUGAAGGGCAUCACAUGCCCAUUUCUACAAAUUUUAGACUUAUUUUUAUUAUUGAGGGGGUGGGGACUUUCAUUGGUGAUUGAAAUUUGGUUUUAUCUUUGAACUAUUUUGCCUGGACUCAAGUUGUUCACUUUUCAAACAUCUUAUGGGCACUCUUGUCCAAAAGAAAUAAGCUUUUGGGACCCCAAAAGGCUGUGUUGGUGUGAAAAAAAGAAACAAAAUUGAUCACUCACGACUUCAUUUUUCACAUCCCGGAGUGUAUAAGGAUCUGACAUCGUUACCUGCCGGCCAUAGUAAUCCAGAGCUAUACUGUAAUGACCCAAUCCCACCAUCUCCGCUUCUUUACCCAACCCCACCAUUUCCACCUUCUUUUCUACCAUCUCCACCUUCUUUCCCACCAACUCCAUCUUCUAUAAUUCACAAAUUAAGAAAGAGAAAGAGAAAGAGAAAGAGAAAGAGAGAGAAGAAGAAGGGAGAAAGCUCACCUGAACUCGUCGCCGGAGCCACCACACGCCAGGACGUCGUCAAGCUCGUCACCACCAUCAUCCGCAACCAAAGGUAAUCGGAAACCGCCAUGUUUUUGAGUUAAGUUUCGGCCGUUUUAGUAAAUCGACCAUAACUUUCUAACCGUGAUUAAUAUCGUGAAUUCAAGACUAACAUCGUGUUCCUCUCGUCGAGACGAAUCCGUAGCCACCAAAAACGCCUCAAUCGGAGUCCGGACGAAGCCGUACGCGCCCCCGCAAGUUUCGCCGACUGCUCGCGUGUCGUUCACGCGCCGCCGCCGGAAAUCGCCUCCGUCGGCGCGUGAACGACACGCGAGCAGUCGGCGAAACUUGCGGGGGCGCGUACGACUUCGUCCGGACUCCGAUUGAGGCGUUUUUGGUGGCUACGGAUUCGUCUCGACGAGAGGAACACGAUGGUAGUAUUGGAUUCACGAGAUUCUUCACGGUUAGAAAGUUAUGGUCGAUUUACUAAAACGGCCAAAACUUAACUCAAAAGCAUGGCGGUUUCCGAUUACCUUUGGUUGCGGAUGAUGGUGGUGACGAGCUUGACGACGUCCUGGCGUGUGGUGGCUCCGGCGACAAAUUCAGAAGAUGGAGAUGGUGGGAAAGAAGGUGGAGAUGGUGAAAAUGGUGGGGUUGGAAAAGAAGUGGAGAUGGUGGGAUUGGGUCAUUACAUAUACUCUGGCCAAGAACACUGCCGAUGGUUCUGAUGCCAUCAAUGUUCAGGGAUUGCAACAUGAUGUAGUCCAGUCCUCCUUGCAUCCAGGUGUUCAGAUCUGGAUUCUCUCUUACUUCAUAUUCUGCAGUUUUAAAGAAACCAAAGAUAUCAAAGUUACAACACAACACCACUAAUAAGUUUUUAGCAGCUCAUCCAAAAAAAGAGUGGAACUCACCAUCUUUUCUCAUCUCAGACAACAAACCAGAAGAAUGCCUCUCCACGACUUUAAGAUACUCAUCAAUGAAGCACCAUUGCCUCAUCUUCCUAUUAAAAUGCCUGUUGCAACUUAUCAUGUCUCGUCUUCGAGUACUGGAACGUCGGUGAGCUCUGGUGGUGCCACUGCAACGUUUUCAAGUUCUCAAGUUGGUCGUUGAGGAGAUAUAUGUCGUGUGUGUGUUGUAUUUUAGUUAUUUUUCGUCUGUGUAACCGAUAAUACUUGUUUCUGUUACUCUUUGCUUCUGAAAGAAGUUUCUACAA